UGCACAGAACAUUUAAUUUUCUUAAACCAAUAUUACCCGAGUAAAAGAAUUGAACCGAGGCCCUAGAAAAGUACUGAGAAGGAAAAAAUCAAAGCAUGAAAAAGUUAUUUAUUGUACCUUUUGUAUCAGGGUUUAUCCAAUCCCAACCUUUAUUGGCGAAUCCCGAAGAAGGGUGAUCUACAUCAAUUAAAGGUGGCUGUUUCACAAGCCUCUGAAAGAUUGAUGUUGGUGUAAAAAAUAUUACGGACCCUUAUAUCUGGUUGGCAAAACAUGCCUUUAGGGCUCUCCGCAGGGAACAUCUUCUAGGGGAUGAGCUCUAGAAGCGGGUACACAGCUAUAUUUCACGCGGGUGAUAUAGGCUUAACAGUUGCCAAAGUGUAAUAACCGAUCCCGAUAAAAGAGUAAUUUAAAAGCUGUUAACCCAAACUAGCCGGUGCUGAUUAUUAGAAUCCAGCAAUCAUAAUGAUAAAAUUAGUAGAUAAAACAUUCGUAAAACGUACUUACUAAAAUCGGGAAGGAACUCGGCAAAACUCGCCUCCGCCUGUUUAACAAAGACAUCGCUUCCUAGGUCUAGGAGGUCGGGCCUGCCCACUGAUAAGUUGAAGGGCCGUGGUAUACUGACCAUGCGAAGGUAGCAUAAUCAUUAGCCCCUCGAUUGGGGGCUGGAAUGAAGGGUCUGACGAGAGGCGGCCUGUCUCCCCCAUUAAACCGAAGUUAAUUUUUAAGUGAAAAAGCUUAAAUGUUCUUGGAGGGCGAUAAGACCCUAUAGAUCUUUACAUUCUACCCUUCCGUUUAUCGGCCAGUAACCAAACUGAAGGAGGUAAUGUUAGGUUGGGGCGACCGCGGGAGAAGAACAAACACCAGCGACUCAUUAACAUUCAUAAAUGAUCGUUGAUCCUUAGAUGAACAUAGAGCAAGUUACCUUAGGGAUAACAGCGUAAUUCUUUUUGAGAGUCCCAAUCGACAAAAGAGUUUGCGACCUCGAUGUUGGUUCAGGGACCCUCCUCGGUGCAGCAGCCUAGCAAGGUAGUCUGUUCGACUAUUAAACCCCUACGUGAUCUGAGUUCAGACCGGCGUAAGCCAGGUUAGUUUCUACCCUCAAGACAACCUCCCCGAGACAGUACGAAAGGACCUCUCGGGGUUUUGU
rnacentral:rRNA from 1 species